UGGCUUGUGUGACGCACGCUGCUGUUACAAUUUUCUUUGAAACUUUUUGGCCUAUUUUCGGCUUUUACCGUUUUGUGUUAGGAAAAUUUCUACCGUAACGUAUGAAGUAAGUCUUGGGGAUGUCUCUGUGAUGAGUUUUUGCCGUUCUCUGGUUGUUUGAGGGACGAAAUGCGCAUUUCCUGACCUGGGCCGGAAUUUUGGACAAGAAAGGAAAAUGGCGACUGUAUGUAUAAGGACGACGUGGUGUUGAGAAGACUCCUCUUUAGAAGAUGUAUCGUGAGGGUGGUCCUGAUGUUCAUAUCGAAACCAGACCAGACGAGGGAGUUUGUAUAGAUAGGUGUGUCCUAAAUGUUCCUGUCCUUACUGGGAGAAACCUGUGGUGACGGGCAACUUCUGUCCAAAGAAGACAAGAUGAGGGUUCAGCAAUGUUGACUUGAAGACAGUAAAGAGU